rnacentral:rRNA from 1 species
UACGUAGGGUGCGAGCGUUGUCCGGAAUUAUUGGGCGUAAAGGGCUCGUAGGCGGUUUGUCGCGUCGGGAGUGAAAUCAUCUGGCUUAACUGGGUGCUUGCUUUCGAUACGGGCAGACUAGAGGUAUGCAGGGGAGAACGGAAUUCCUGGUGUAGCGGUGAAAUGCGCAGAUAUCAGGAAGAACACCCGUGGCGAAGGCGGCUCUCUGGGACGGUACUGACGCUGAGACGCGAAAGCGUGGGGAGCGAACAGG